rnacentral:rRNA from 1 species
CCUACGGGUGGCAGCAGUGAGGAAUAUUGGUCAAUGGGAGAGAUCCUGAACCAGCCAAGCCGCGUGAGGGAAGACGGCCCUAUGGGUUGUAAACCUCUUUUGUCGGAGAACAAAACCCGGGACGUGUCCCGGACUGCGUGUCUCCGAAGAAAAAGCAUCGGCUAACUCCGUGCCAGCCGCCGCGGUAAUACGGAGGAUGCGGGCGUUAUCCGGAUUGAUUGGGUUUAAAGGGUGCGUAGGCGGUCCGUUAAGUCAGCGGGAAAAUUGCGGGGCUCAACCCCGUCGAGCCGUUGAAACUGGCAGACUUGAGUUGGCGAGAAGUACGCGGAAUGCGAGGUGUAGCGGUGAAAUGCAUAGAUAUCGCGCAGAACUCCGAUUGCGAAGGCAGCGUACCGGCGCCAGACUGACGCUGAGGCACGAAAGCGUGGGGAUCGAACAGGAUUAGAUACCCUGGUAGUC